CAGGUGGUCUUAUAAGUCAGAUGUGAAAUCUUACGGCUCAACCGUAAUCAGCAUUUGAAACUGUAAGACUUGAAUCAAGGAGAGGAAAGUGGAAUUCCUAGUGUAGCGGUGAAAUGCGUAGAUAUUAGGAGGAAUACCAGUGGCGAAGGCGACUUUCUGGACUUGUAUUGACACUGAGGUACGAAAGCGUGGGGAGCAAACAGGAUUAGAUACCCUGGUAGUCCACGCCGUAAACGAUGAGUGCUAGGUGUCGGGGGUCAAACCUCGGUGCCGGAGCUAACGCAUUAAGCACUCCGCCUGGGGGAGUACGUACGCAAGUAUGAAACUCAAGGAAUUGACGGGGACCCGCACAAGCAGC
rnacentral:rRNA from 1 species